UGAAAGUCUACAUUUGAAGCCUUUACAAAUGGCCUUCCUUACCUCUUCUAUAUAUCCUGGAUUUCAAUCUGAAGAUAUCUGUAAAAAUCACAAUGUUUAUAUAUAUCUACCUUGCAAAAUCUGCCUUUGCACAAGAAAAACAAGUAUAUUUUAAAAAUUUAUGGCAGUAUUGUUUUUAAUAAUGAGAUAUAGAAAAAGGUAAAAAAGCUGAUAGUUGUCAGUUUGAUUACAUAGAUUAUGUUAUAACCAUACAAUCCAAUACUGGCGAACGUGGAUUAAAAAGUAUGAUAGGUCUACAUAACUGCCAUGAAAAAAGUCCAUAAUAUGUUUUUAAAUGAAAAAAGCAAAUUGCAGGGAACUUAAAACAACAACAACAACAAAAAACCCUGAGAAAAGUGAUUUAUCACUUCAGUUUGUAAACAAGGGCCUUGCCUUAUCACCUUUGUAACAUUUGUAAAAUGCCUACCUCUAGCUGAAUCCAUAUGAUCUUUGUUACCACGGAACAAAUACUAUUUUAUUAUAAUUAUGUAGAAAAAAAGAAAAACGUCUUCCACGGCAGCCGAAAUAGCUCAGUUGGGAGAGCGUUAGACUGAAGAUCUAAAGGUCCCUGGUUCAAUCCCGGGUUUCGGCAGCGCUUCCGUUUUAGGCGUUAGUCAUCACUACAUGUGAUUUCUGCAGUUAACAGGGUCUUUCUGCAGUUAACAGGGUCAACACCCUGUGGGUUCUCACGCGGGCUGGGGCAGUUAAGGGAAACCUUAUCGUCAUUUUCCCCUGGGAGGGAGGAUACUGGGGACAUAUGUCUUACCUUUUAAACUGCCCAGUACGAAGUUACGCCUCUGCCCUCACUUGGGACCUGGUUUGAGACAAGCUCUUCCGGAGCACUGCGCAUAGCUCACUUUCUUGAGCAACCCUGUGUCCCCGCACCCCGCUCCUCUUCUUUCGGGUUCUAGGCAGCCGUGGGCGCUGCGACCCUUCUCUCACUGUCAGAGGGGCGGGAGCUCUCGGCCUGCGCCGCCUCCGCUGCCUGCUUGGUCGCGGGCUUGCCGGGAAUGGUGACAGCCCGGGCCCCCUCUUGGCCAAAGAAGUCCUCGAAAGCGUUCGGCGCACGGGCUUUGUCCAGCUUUUUAAACCGUAACAAGGACCGGGGCCGGGCGCGGUGGCUCACGCCUGUAAUCCCAGCAUUUUGGGAAGUCGAGGCGGACGGAUUACUUGAGGUCAUGAGUUCGAGACCAGCCUGGCCAACACGGUGAAACUCUGUCUUUAAAAAAGAAAACAAAAACAAUAACAAGGACCCUAGAACAGCUCUUAGGUGGGGCGGGAGACAGAGAUCGGAAGCCCUUUCUAGUUUAAAUCUACACUAGGGUUAGAAGACCAAAUACAGGACGUCCAAUUAAUUUCCUUUUUUUUCUUUUUCCUUUUCUUUUCUUUUUUCUUUUUUUAAGAUGGAGUCUUGCUCCCAUGCUGGAGUGCAGUGGCGUGAUCUCGGCUGACUGUAACCUCCGCCUCCCGGGUUCAAGUGAUUCUCCUGCCUCAGCCUCCGGAGUAGCUGGGAUUACAGCAAAGAUAUCCAGACGCUGUAUGCAGGAAGAACUGAAUUUCAGAGGACACCGUUUGAUCUUCAACACCUGGCAGUUUACAAAACAGGUUUGUAUCCAUUGGCUAAUUUGUUAUCAGCACCAACAGAGAAGCUCCUGGCAGAGAUCACUAGGAAACACCCCGGGAAUCGGCCAUCCACCAGUUUCUAGGCUUCCAGAGUUGUCCAUGCUUGUCUGGCAUGGGGGCGGAGGUCAGUGGAACUCGGAGGAUAUGGAUUGAAUUUCAGUAGAAAGCCUCAUUAAGAUGAUGAACCACAGCCGGGCAUAGUGGCUCACGCCUGUAAUCCCAGCACUUUGGGAGGCUGAGGCGGGCGGAUCACCUGAGGUUGGGAGUUCAAGACCAGCCUGACCAAAAUGGAGAAAUCCCGUCUCUACUAAAAAUACAAAAUUAACCGUGCGUGGUGGCGCACGCCUGUCAUCCCAGCUACUCGGGAGGCUGAGGCAGGAGAAUCGCUUGAACCCAGGAGGCAGAGGUUGCCGUGAGCGGAGAUUACACCAUUGCACUGCAGCCAGGACAACAAGAGCGAAAUUCCGUCUCAAAAAAAAAAAAAAAAAAAAAAAAAAAAAAAGAUGAGCCACUCCACUCAAGGCAAGGCAAUGGAAAAACACACUUAGGGAGUGCCUUCUUUUUAGUCAGGCUGGACCAUGGAGGGAGAGGAAGGAGAUCCAUGUGUCACAUUCUAAGAACUCGCAGUGUGGUAAAAGGCAAAAUGAAGCCAGCCAUAUGGUUUUUAGGCCUAUUUAUACCCCUCUCCUCUUUCUGUUAAUGUUUGCCAAUAUGCUAGCUGAUAUGGGGCUUCAGCCCCAAAAUCGUUGAGUUCUUGGGUGGAAAGAUGUAUUUUGAUGAGGGGCUCUUGAAAGUCCAAUGGUGAUCAAUAAGAAGAAACCCCAACUGAUCAUCUAAUAGACUAGAGAAUUAAACUUUUCAUGAGGUUUGGUCGAACGCCAUUCUAGAUGUUACUAGGAAGGUGUUUUUGGUUUGUUUCUUUUGAGACAGGGUCUUGUUCUGUUGCCCAGGGGUGGGGUGCAGUGGCACCAUCACAGUUCACUGCAGCCUCAACCUCCUGGGCCUCAAGUCAUUCUUUGGCCUCAGCCUCCCUAGUAGCUGGGACCACAGGUACGCAGCAUCACGUCCGGUUAAUUUUUUGUAUUUAUAGAGACGGGGUGUCGCCAUGUUGCCCAGGCUGGUCUCGAACUCUGGAGCUCAAGCGAUCUGCCUGCCUCGGCCUUUCAAAGUGCUGAGACUACAGGUAUGAGUCACAGCCCCUGGCAAUGAAGGUAUUUUUUACAUGUGAUUAACGUUUAAAUCAGUAGACUCCAGGUAAAGAAGAUCACCCUUUAUAAUGUGCCUCAUUAAAUCAGCUGAAGCCUUUAAGAGCAAAGACUGGAGUUUCUGAAGAAGAAGGAAUUCUCCUAAAAACUUUGCUAUAGGCCAGGCGCGGUGGCUUACGCCUGUAAUCCCAGCAUUUUGGGAGGCCGAGACGGGCAGAUCACCUGAGGUCAGGAGUUGCAGACCAGCCUGGCCAACAUGGUGAAACCCCAUCUCUGUUAAAAAUACAAAAAUUAGCCAGGCAUGGUGGCGCAUGCCUGUAAUCCUAGCUACUUGGGAGGCUGAGACAGGAGAAUUGCUUGAACCUGGGAGGCGGAGGUUGCAGUGAGCCAAGAUUGAGCCACUCCACUCCAGCCUGGACAACAGAGCAAGACUCCAUCUCAAACAAAAACAAACAAACAAAAAAAACUUUGGUAUAGAAAACCUGCCUUCCUGAGUCUCCAGCUUACUGCCCUGCUGAAUUUAUUUAUUUAUUUAUUUAUUUAUUUAUUUAUUUAUUUAAUUUUUUGAGAGGGAGUCCUGGUCUGUCACCCAGACUGGAGUGCAGUGGCGCCAUCUGGGCUCACUGCAACCUCUGCCUCCUGGGUUCCAGAGAUUCUCCUGCCUCAGCCUCCCAAGUAGCUUGACUACAGGUGUGCACCACCACGCCUGGCUAAUUUUUGUAUUUUUAGUAGAGACGGGGUUUUACCGUGUUGGCCAGGCUGGUCUGGAACUCCUGACCUCAGGUCAUCCACCCGCCUCAGUCUCCCAAAGUGUUGGGAUUACAGGCAUGAACCACAGCACCUGGCCUGCCCUGCUGAAUUUAAACUCAAGAUGGCAACCUUAACUCUUAUCUGAAUUUUCAAACCGUUAGUCUGCCCUACAGGUUUUGGGUUUGCUGACCCCCACAAUGUGUGAACCGAGCUCUUAAAAUAAUCUUUCUCUACCUCUGUUUCUAUCUGUCUCUGUCCUACUGGUUCUGUUUCUUUGGAGAACCUGACAGCAUGCUUUAAAGUGUUACUUAUACACACAGGUAAGAGUGAAGAAUGAGAUUGUUACUAUUGUUCUGAGCAAAAGCCAACCACCUUGGGACCAAAAGUGGGAGGCAUAUUCCUAGGAAAUGUUGGGCCUAGCCUUUGCCCUAAAAAGGCAAGCCCUGUCUGUUUUCAGCCUGAAGAGGAGAGGGGGAAUCCUGGUGAGAAGCAUUUGGAAUUCAAGCUCAGAGAAGAAGACACGGUAUUUCUGGCUGAAUCACAUUUCCUGCAUGCCUGCACACUCCUACUCACCUUUCAAGGCACAGUUCUAAUGCCUUACCCCCUGCCAGGUGCUACUCUGCCUUCCUUCUAGUGAUUUCUCUGGGUUACCAAAGGUCUUGCAUAUUUCUCUAUUAAAGCAUUGAUUAAAAGCCAUCUCGGCUCACUGCAACCUCUGUUUCCUGGGUUCCAGCGAUUCUCCUGCCUCAGCCUCCCGAGUAGCUGGGACUACGGGUGUGCGCCACCGCACUUGGCUAUUUUUGUAUUUUUUGGUAGAGACCAGGUUUCACCAUGUUGGCCAGGCUAGUCUCAAACUCCUGACCUCAAGUGAUUGGCCCGCCUCGGCCUCCAAAGCGCUGGAAUUACAGGCGUGAACUACUGCUUUGGCCAAGCUGCAUUCUCAAAGGUGUAAAGGGUAGAAGUAUAUACCACCCGAAAAUAUGCCACUCCGGCCUAAGGAUUAUUUUGCGCUAAAGGCAAUUGGGAAGAAGCUGAUUAAAAUAAAGCUCCAUAGCCUCCCCCUAUCUGCCUAAAAGCAGGAUAUACAUUUACAAAGUCGUUCCUCCUCCUUUCUCUACCAGGAAGGACAAAGGUUGAUAACCUAAGACAACUUUAGGUCCUUAACAGCUUGGAGACGUGAACAGAGGGGACCACAGAAGUACAUUUAACAAGCUUUAGGAACCUGCCUUUAUCUAACAUUAAUUUCCCAUAUAUUUGCUUUCCCACAAUUUGCUGUCCCUGGAGACCCGAGGUCCUUUCUUUUUGCUUUCUUUUUUUUUGUUUUUUUUGGGACAGAGUCUCGCUCUGUCGCGCAGGCUGGAGUGCAGUGGCGCGAUCUCGGCUCACUGCAACCUCUGCCUCCGAGUUCAAGCGAUUCUCCUGCCUCAGCCUCCUGAGUAGCUGGGAUUACAGGCGCGCGCCACCACGCCCGGCUAAUUUUUGUAUUUUUAGUAGAGACGAGGUUUCACCACAUGUUGGUCAGGCUGGUCUCGAACUCCUGACCUCAGGUGAUCCGCCCACCUCGGCCUCGCAAAGUACUGGGAUUACAGGCGUGAGCCACCGCGCCCAGCCUUUAAGGUCCUUUUCCUUUGUGUUGUCACUUCUCCAAAAACGUAUUGUUCUUUGUUGACGAUGCUGUAUAAAAUGGAGUUCUCAGCCACACCUUUAGAAUUACUCAUUCCCUGGGUAUGUCCCAUGUAUAUAUGAAAUGCACAUGUUAAUACACUUGUUUUUCUCUUCAUUCUGUCUGUUGUUACAGGAGUCCCAGCUGAGAACUCAAACUGGUAGAAGGAAGAUUAUUUUUCCUUCUCUAUAGGUGCUUGGAGGUAACGAGGGGAAAGGAGUUGAAAGGAAGGUGACAUUUCAGGUAUUGAUGGGACAGCACGUGCGAGGCCUAGAGGACUGAAAGUUCUUGAUGGGAUCUGUCAGAAGAAAACAGCUGCGUGUACAGGGGAGAAGUGGGAGGGGCGGGUCGGCUAGCGAGCUGAGACGGAGCUGCGCGUGCGUCGAAGUCGGGGCUGUGGGGGCGGGGUGGGUCCGGGGCGCGCUCACCGGAUCGCCGGCGAGCUACGGCUACCACCCGUCAUCUCUUUUCAGCUAAUCUGCUUCGCGCUACUUUUUUGAGGUGGGCACCUGGGAUGGAGGCAAGGAAUCACGAAGUGGCGUCUCCUCGGAAGGGGCAGCCUGAUGUCUUUAACCACUGAACUGUGGUUUCCAACUGGAUGCGCUUUGGGUUCAGGGCUAAGACACGCGUAGGCGGUGCAGACAGUUCAAUUCGUGGGCGGCUUUUUCUCUCCCCUGCGCGGUUUUGCAGAACUGAGGAUUCACGUUUGCCACGCAGUCUCUAAAUCCUCCUCCCAGCCCUCGCCGGAUUUCUGCAUCGGAAUUGGAUUGGAUCACACACAAAAGAAGAGCCCAGGAACUCGUUCACCACCUUGCACCUUGCCUGUUAGUUCACGGCAUAAUGGUAACAGAGUCUUCAUUAAUGGAAGCAACGUUACUACCGUGAGCCCGGAUAGCUCAGUCGGUAGAGCAUCAGACUUUUAAUCUGAGGGUCCAGGGUUCAAGUCCCUGUUCGGGCGGUAUCUUUUUUUUCCUCAUUAAAAGAGUAAGAACCAAUUUUAGGAUCUUUUGUUUGUUAACACACUGCAAAAGAAGGGAAUAAAGUCCUGGAUUGUGUAAACUGCGACCCCAAACACUUCUCGGAGGGUAAGCCCUCU
rnacentral:tRNA from 10 species